GACGAACGCUGGCGGCGUGCCUAACACAUGCAAGUCGAGCGAAUGAAGUUCCUUCGGGGAUGGAUUUAGCGGCGGACGGGUGAGUAACACGUGGGCAACCUGCCUCAUAGAGGGGAAUAGCCUUCCGAAAGGGAGAUUAAUACCGCAUAAGAUUGUAGUAUCGCAUGAUACAGCAAUUAAAGGAGCAAUCCGCUAUGAGAUGGGCCCGCGGCGCAUUAGCUAGUUGGUGAGGUAACGGCUCACCAAGGCGACGAUGCGUAGCCGACCUGAGAGGGUGAUCGGCCACAUUGGGACUGAGACACGGCCCAGACUCCUACGGGAGGCAGCAGUGGGGAAUAUUGCACAAUGGGGGAAACCCUGAUGCAGCAACGCCGCGUGAGUGAUGACGGCCUUCGGUUGUAAGCUCUGUCUUCAGGGACGAUAAUGACGGUACCUGAGGAGGAAGCCACGGCUAACUACGUGCCAGCAGCCGCGGUAACAA
rnacentral:rRNA from 1 species